GGAUCAACAUUGCUCCAUGCAUAAAUGACAACUUGGCUUGCCAUAGUGGUCAAUUUAAACAACCUACUGUGGGGCAUCAAAAUAAACGUAACACAUCAUAGACACAAGAAGCCAUAGAGGAUUAAUCGGGUGUUUUUUUUCUUUUACUCUGUUUUGACCCUUGUGACAUUGAAAGCGUGUUCAAUGACAAUCAUUAACAACAAUUCAAUACCCAAACAAGCUGCAGACAAAGUAUCAUGACACUGGGCCUCAUAUUUCUGUAGCAGAUCAGGUAGGGAGUAUUUGACACCUCUGACGUUUGUGAACUUAAAAGUAGGCCACGGUUACUUAUCUAAACGAAUCGGGUAUCUCUCCAUCAUGGACAACAACAAACCGUAUAGCAUGACUAUUGGUACCACAGUUUUAGUUCUGUAGAAGUCGUUAGAAAUGUCAGACACAUUUGACUCCUGUAACCUUGAAAGUAGGGCAGAGUAGUGUUAUUUUAACAAACAUGAUAGCCAUUUCACAACAGCGUUUCGUAUGAUAUAUAACGAGGAGUAUUUUCAACCUUUACGUCACUGACGCCCUCUCGUUAACGUUGUUUCCUUAUUACGAUGUAAAGCGAUACAACAUUCCUAGUCCCAACAUUGUUUUGGUGCGAGAUAUUUUAACAGAAGCCAAAUGGCUAUCAAGAAAUAAUCUUUAGUUUCUAGAUGAACAUUUGUAUCACAAAUGCAUACGAGUGAAAAAAUAUCCAACACACAUAUAGUCAUAUUUCACUCAUGGGUUAACCAUUUUCCCCAUAACUUAUAAUUAUAUACGGGCCUCCCACUAGUACAAACAAAUAUCAACAUAUUCAGCUUAUUCGUGGGUUGAAUAUUUCUCACUCGUUCGAUGCAUUCGUGAAUACAUCAAAUAAUCACGCUGCUUGUGAAUCAUAUACCUGUUUUUCAUAAAAAAAAAAAAAACAUAUCCUCAAUAUAUUCACUUUUACAGAGAAACUUGUGCUACUUGAGUUUGCUGUUAAAUGCAACUGAAAAUUGAAUAACCCCCUGAUACACAUGCACUCAACCAAUCGGUAUACACAUGCACUCAACCAAUCGGUAUACACAUGCACUCAACCAAUCGGUAUACACAUGCAUAGAAGAUACGAGACAGUCGCAAGAACAACUUGUUAAUUUUAUUAUUAUACAUUAUUGACAAAAAAUAAAGUGAUUUCAAAAAUAUAAUCACAUAAAUCAUAAUAAAAACAACAUAAGUGAGGAAAAGGCCAGCUUCCCUUGUUCAUUGUAAAAUGGACCCAUAAUCAAUACAUACUUAAUCACGACCGAUAUAACAGGAAUGCUACUGGUACGAGUUUUAUUUUUAAAUCAAUCCUACAGUUAUCCAUAUUAAACUAAAAAAUAUCUGCAUAGAUACGGAUAUUUCCAAACGGCGAUUUAACGAUGAAGUAUUUGUUAACAACGUAUUAACAUUCUGUAAUUGGCGAUAUCAAAUUAAAAAAAAAAUUCAAAAAAAAAUGGUCAAAUUUUUAAUUUUUCAAUCUUGUCAUUUCAAUGAUUACAGUUUUUAUUUUCAUAAACAAUCAUAUAUUAACAUUUCAAAACAAGGCAUCAAAUAAGGCUAUUUUGAUUUCACAAAGAUCUAUUAACCAAUAUACAAGUUAGCCAUGCUAACCAGAACAUUUAGGUUACCUCACAUAUCAUUAUUCAGUUAAACAUUAAAUUAGCCAUGUUCAGUAGAUAAUGAAGUAUUUCAAAACAUUGUCUUUUCCAGUUUAACAACCAUUCCGAUACAUAAUUUUGUUCCUGUAUAUUUCCCUUUAUAUACUAGAUUUAGCAAGUUACACAAAACAUCUCAGAGUCACUCAUAUUAAGAAUAUUAAAUAAGAGCGAAGUGGUCCCAGGGACACACUUUGAACAAAACAGUCUAAAUAUUGUUGACAACAUCAAAUAACAGUAAUAAAGAUUUGAAUACUCCCUAAGUCAAGGUAAAUUUUAAAGCUUUUGUAUCAUUUAUGUUGUUGAAAAAUAUUAUUGUCAAGUUACAUGUAAAACAAUCAUUUUUGAAGUUGAACUCUGACCGCUGAUUAUGGCUGCCUCAAUGGUUACAAUGUUCUGUUUAUCAGACCCCAAUCUCCACUGGGAUCAUUAAAUCCCUUGAUUAACUUGUCCUUCUACAGUAAAAGACUGAUUUGUUCUUAUAAUCUUGAAAUUUCACAUUUCCUAUUUUUUUAAAUAACAGUUUAUGUAGAAUUGUGACCUUGACCUUUGAUCUAUAACCAUCAUUGACCUUUGAUCUCUGACCAUCAUUUAGCAAGUCCCCUCUGCCCCAACAAAGGUCUAACUUUCACUUACACAACAUUGAACUCCCUUUACCUAGGGAUUGCUUCACACCAAAUUAGGUCAAAAUCCCUUCAACAGAUGUUGACAAUGGACGCCAUGUGACAUGCCAGACAGACGUAAAGAGGUAAAUCAGUGUGCCCACACAACACAGGGGCCAUAACAGCUAUAACAACAGUAACACGUGCUUAACAUUAAACUUUGUUGUCAAGAUAACAAUAUUUAUAUCAUGAGCAGGACAAAGUCCUGAUAACAACAUCAUCAGGUCUCGUCAGUCAGUACAUCAAUACUACAUCUUAUUAGGCAAACAGCAACUGUCUUUGCAUUUAAAAAAAUGAUUUAAAAACAAAGUUUUAACAUAUAAAUUAAUGGUAUAUCAUUAAAAUGAUUUAAUUUAGUAUAUCAUAAAUCAAACAAACAUGUCAUUUUUCUAAAAAAAUAUAAAUUAAACUAUGCCACAGCAUAACUCUAAUACUGAGCUUGUGCAGAAAAGGACUUAUAUGGACUAUCAAACAGAUUUCUGAAAAAGUUGGUAUGAAUCAAUUUACAGUAUAAUCUGUUAACCUGGAUUCCUGUGAUUGUAUUCCUCAAUGAAUGAGUCAACUUCCUCCCCCAUAAAGAACGUACCUCCUGGCAGAAGUAUAUCAGUGUUACAUAAUUGGGAAAAUAUUUAAUCAAAUCUUCACUUGUACAUUCAAAUACAAUAUAUCUCACAAACAUUCAUUAAAAUGCAGACAUAGGUUACAUUUUUGUCAAUUUCAAAUUGCAAUACUAUACUUCCAGGAUAAACAGCAUUAAACAUCCAAAUUCUGCAUGAGAAGCAUUACUCCAACUGUGAUAUUUUCUUCUUUCUUCUUAUGUAAUUUCUCAGUACAAUAGGUAAGGAGAGGGGGGUCCUUGAUUCAUUAUUCCCCUCAUGGUAUCCUUAUUGAAAUAGAUAAGGGGAGGGGAGGUCCUUGAUUCAUUAUUCCCCUCAUGGUAUCUUCAGUGAAAUAGGCAAGGGGAGGGGGGUGCUUGAUUCAUUAUUCCUCUCAUGGUAUCUUCAGUGAAAUAGGUUUGGAGAGGGGAGGUCCUUGAUUCAUUAUUCCCCUCAUGGUAUCCUCAUUGAAAUAGAUAAGGGGAGGGGAGGUCCUUGGUUCAUUAUUCCCCUCAUGGUAUCUUCAGUGAAAUAGGUAUGGAGAGGGGAGGUCCUUGAUUCAUUAUUCCCCUCAUGGUAUCCUCAUUGAAAUAGGUAAGGGGAGGGGGGUCCUUGGUUCAUUAUUCCCCUCAUGGUAUCCACAGUGAAAUAGGUAAGGAGGGGGGGGGAUGUCUUUGAUUCAUUAUUCCCCUCAUGGUAUCCUCAUUGAAAUAGGUAAGGAGAGGGGAGGUCCUUGCUUCAUUAUUUCCCUCAUGGUAUCCUCAUUGAAAUAGGUAAGGGGAGGGGGGUCCUUGAUUCAUUAUUCCCCUCAUUGUAUCUCCUCAGUGAAAAAGGUAAGGAGGGAAAGGGAGGCAGGGUCCUAGAUUCAUU